rnacentral:rRNA from 1 species
AUUGAACGCUGGCGGCAGGCCUAACACAUGCAAGUCGAGCGGCUGCAGGGUGCUUGCUCCUGGUUUCAGCGGCGGACGGGUGAGUAAUGCCUAGGAAUCUGCCUGGUAGUGGGGGAUAACGUCCGGACACGGGCGCUAAUACCGCAUACGUCCUGAGGGCGUAAGUGGGGGAUCUUCGGACCUCACGCUAUCAGAUGAGCCUAGGUCGGAUUAGCUAGUUGGUGGGGUAAAGGCCUACCAAGGCGACGAUCCGUAACUGGUCUGAGAGGAUGAUCAGUCACACUGGAACUGAGACACGGUCCAGACUCCUACGGGAGGCAGCAGUGGGGAAUAUUGGACAAUGGGCGAAAGCCUGAUCCAGCCAUGCCGCGUGUGUGAAGAAGGUCUUCGGAUUGUAAAGCACUUUAAGUGGGGAGGAAGGGCAGUAAGUUAAUACCUUGCUGUUUUGACGGUACCAACAGAAUAAGCACCGGCUAACUUCGUG